CUUAGCAGCGAACGGGUGAGUAACACGUAGAUAAUCUAUCCUAUACUGGGGGAUAGCCCGAUGAAAGUUGGAUUAAUACCGCAUAUAGCUAUAUAGUUGCAUGAUUAUGUAGUGAAAGAUUUAUUGGUAUAGGAGGAGUCUGCGGCACAUUAGCUAGUAGGUGAGGUAAAGGCUUACCUAGGCGACGAUGUGUAGCCGGUCUGAGAGGAUGAACGGCCACAAUGGAACUGAGACACGGUCCAUACUCCUACGGGAGGCAGCAGUGGGGAAUAUUGCACAAUGGGGGAAACCCUGAUGCAGCAACGCCGCGUGAGUGAAGAAGGUUUUCGGAUUGUAAAGCUCUGUUAGCAGGGAAGAGGAAGGACGGUACCUGCAGAGGAAGCCACGGCUAACUACGUGCCAGCAGCCGCGGUAAUACGUAGGUGGCAAGCGUUGUUCGGAAUAACUGGGCGUAAAGGAUGCGUAGGCGGUUAAACAAGUUAUAUGUUAAAUAUAUAGGCUUAACCUGUAGAAAGCAUAUAAAACUGUUUAACUAGAGUGCAGGAGAGGUAAGUGGAAUUCCUAGUGUAGCGGUGAAAUGCGUAGAGAUUAGGAAGAACACCAGUGGCGAAGGCGACUUACUGGACUGUAACUGACGCUGAGGCAUGAGAGCAUGGGGAGC
rnacentral:rRNA from 1 species